GCCGGGAAAGCUGAUCUGGUGAUAGCGUCGCGUUGAAGGCGCGAAGAGGUCCGCUCGAAACGGACUCCCGGCACCA
rnacentral:tRNA from 1 species